GCACCGAUAGUCCAGCCUGGUUAAUAUUUAGCCAAUAGAUACCGGCCUUCCAAGCCGGCGAGGCGGGUUCAAAUCCCGCUCGGUGCA
rnacentral:tRNA from 6 species